rnacentral:rRNA from 1 species
UAAUACGUAGGCAGCAAACGUUGUUCGGAAUUACUGGGCGUAAAGAGUGUGUAGGCGGUUUUGUAAGUUUGGUGUGAAAUCUCCCGGCUUAACUGGGAGGGUGCGCCGAAAACUGCAAGGCUUGAGUGCUGGAGAGGAGAGCGGAAUUCCUGGUGUAGCGGUGAAAUGCGUAGAUAUCAGGAGGAACACCGGCGGUGUAGACGGCUCUCUGGACAGUAACUGACGCUGAGACACGAAAGCGUGGGGAGCAAACAGGAUUAGAUACCCUGGUAGUCCACGCCCUAAACGAUGCAUACUUGGUGUGAGCCAUUCAUUUGGUUCGUGCCGGAGCUAACGCGUUAAGUAUGCCGCCUGGGGAGUACGGUCGCAAGGCUG